rnacentral:rRNA from 1 species
GACAGAGGAGGCAAGCGUUGUUCGGAAUCACUGGGCUUAAAGCGCGUGUAGGCGGCUUGGUAAGUGUCGUGUGAAAUCCCAUGGCUCAACCAUGGAACUGCACGGCAAACUACCUGGCUUGAGGUCGGUAGAGGUGCCUGGAACUCUAGGUGGAGCGGUGAAAUGCGUAGAUAUCUAGAGGAACGCCAGAAGCGAAAGCGGGGCACUGGGCCGAUUCUGACGCUGAGACGCGAAAGCGUGGGGAGCAAACAGG